ACACAAAUACAGAAGGCAUCAUUAUGGCCCAGGAGUUAUACUGUCUGGUAGGAGAAGGCCAUUCCUUAUCAAAGCAAUGCCUAAAAUGCAGCCUAGCCUACAGUUUAUGGUGAAGAUUGUGAGGAUCACAGAUACUGCUGCACUGGAGUAGAGGUGCCACUGACAGAAACCAGGGAAAAGCACAAGGAUCAGUAGUGGGAUGUUUGCAUGCAAGCAAGUGUGCAGGAACGGUCAGCGAGUGGAGCACAGGGCCCCUUGGGUGGGAAGGAGCAACAGAGGGACAACUCAGCCUCCUCCCAGUUCUGGAAACACAAGAAAAGAAAGGAAAUAAACUCUAACUCCAGAGUAUAAGGAAGACACUUAUGAGGAAUUCUGUCAUCUUUGUCCAGCUGAGAAGUCUUCUCCUCACCUGACACUGUUGAUGACCCCUGUGAGCUGUGGAAGAUAAUCUUGGGGUUUUGAGCUGUGGUCUCCUCCAAGCAGUUGAGAAACUGAGAGAAGCAAGAGGCACUGUGAGAGAGAUGAGGAGAGCUGGGAGCUGGAACAAGACCAAAGUGAAAUAAUCCACUCACGGUAAG